GAUUGCCCCAGUAACGGCGAGUGAAGCGGCAACAGCUCAAAUUUGAAAUCUGGCCCCUCCGGGUCCGAGUUGUAAUUUGUAGAGGAUGCUUUUGGUGAGGUGCCGCCCGAGUUCCCUGGAACGGGACGCCACAGAGGGUGAGAGCCCCGUCUGGCUGGCCACCGAGCCUCUGUAAAGCUCCUUCGACGAGUCGAGUAGUUUGGGAAUGCUGCUCAAAAUGGGAGGUAUAUGUCUUCUAAAGCUAAAUAUUGGCCAGAGACCGAUAGCGCACAAGUAGAGUGAUCGAAAGAUGAAAAGCACCUUGAAAAGAGGGUUAAACAGUACGUGAAAUUGUUGAAAGGGAAGCGCUUGUGACCAGACUUGGGCGCGGCGGAUCAUCCGGGGUUCUCUCCGGUGCACUUCGCCGCGUUCAGGCCAGCAUCAGUUCGUCGCGGGGGAAAAAGGCUUCGGGAACGUGGCUCCUCCGGGAGUGUUAUAGCCCGUUGCAUAAUACCCU
rnacentral:rRNA from 1 species